AUGAGAUCUCACUGGAACCUUGAGUUCCCUGAAAGGCCGUCGAAGACUACGAC
rnacentral:rRNA from 1 species